rnacentral:lncRNA from 1 species
CGCUACAUGCUUAAGGUGGAGAGGGUUUAAUGGAAUGGCAACCCAGGCGACACCAGGCCUGAACGAGGCCUUGUAAAACAGCUCAGGUUGUUUAUCCUUCCAGAGGUCAGACUUUGAGCACCUCUGUAUAAGCAGAAACAGCACUGCUUGGCUCAUGUGGACACAGCUGCCCAUGUGAGACCCUUUCUGUCUCACUUCACUGAAAGAUGGUAUAGAUUCUGAAGAGUUGAGUCAAUCCUGGAUGUCGUGGCACAUGAGCAGCAGGAAAACACCUCUGCCCCUACUGCUCCGUGCCGUCCAAC